UACGAAGGGGGCUAGCGUUGCUCGGAAUUACUGGGCGUAAAGGGAGCGUAGGCGGACUGUUUAGUCAGAGGUGAAAGCCCAGGGCUCAACCUUGGAAUUGCCUUUGAUACUGGCAGUCUUGAGUACGGAAGAGGUAUGUGGAACUCCGAGUGUAGAGGUGAAAUUCGUAGAUAUUCGGAAGAACACCAGUGGCGAAGGCGACAUACUGGUCCGUUACUGACGCUGAGGCU
rnacentral:rRNA from 1 species